ACUCCUACGGGAGGCAGCAGUGGGGAAUAUUGGACAAUGGGGGGAACCCUGAUCCAGCCAUGCCGCGUGUGUGAAGAAGGCCUUAUGGUUGUAAAGCACUUUAAAGCGAGGAGGAGGCUACUGAGACUAAUACUCUUGGAUAGUGGACGUUACUCGCAGAAUAAGCACCGGCUAACUCUGUGCCAGCAGCCGCGGUAAUACAGAGGGUGCGAGCGUUAAUCGGAUUUACUGGGCGUAAAGCGUGCGUAGGCGGCUUUUAAGUCGGAUGUGAAAUCCCCGAGCUUAACUUGGGAAUUGCAUUCGAUACUGGGAAGCUAGAGUAUGGGAGAGGAUGGUAGAAUUCCGAGGUGUAGCGGUGAAAUGCGUAGAGAUCUGGAGGAAUACCGAUGGCGAAGGCAGCCAUCUGGCCUAAUACUGACGCUGAGGUACGAAAGCAGUGGGAGCAAACGAGGAUUAGAUACCCCGUGGUAGGAUAGCG
rnacentral:rRNA from 1 species